CCGGGCCGGGCAAGACCGGUGCCAGCCGCCGCCGGUAACACCGGCGGCUCGAGUGGUAACCGUUAUUAUUGGGUCUAAAGGGUCUGUAGCCGGCCGGAUAAGUCUCUUGAGAAAUCUGGCAGCUUAACUGUCAGGCUUUCAGGAGAUACUGUCUGGCUCGAGGCCGGGAGAGGUGAGAGGUACUUCAGGGGUAGGGGUGAAAUCUUGUAAUCCUUGAAGGACCACCAGUGGCGAAGGCGUCUCACCAGAACGGACCUGACGGCAAGGGACGAAAGCUAGGGGCACGAACCGGAUUAGAUACCCGGGUAGUCCUAGCCGUAAACGAUACUCGCUAGGUGUCGGCCACGGUGCGACCGUUGUCGGUGCCGUAGGGAAGCCGUGAAGCGAGCCACCUGGGAAGUACGGCCGCAAGGCUGAAACUUAAAGGA
rnacentral:rRNA from 1 species